UCUCUAGCCCUUGUAAUUAAUGAAAAAGGGUUGUUCUCAACUACUCCCAAAACUUCUCGUCCACAACUAAGGCCAGUUUUCACACUGAAUUAAGAAACAAUUUCACAGCCUCACAACAAGGAGAGCGCGGUUGUGGCUAUGGCAGGAGCCCCGUCUGUUGGAGCUUCACUAAAUUCAUGGCAAUGUUGCUGACUGCAAGAACUUUGAAUAGCAAGGUUGGAAUUGUGAAUAGUCGAGUCCACGCCACUGCUUUGUCUUCUGCGUUUUCCUCUUCAUUUAUUGACUUCUUGCCAAUUAAUUCCAUCCUAGGUUGCGAAGGUAAGGUGAGAGAACUGGCAGGGAGUGUUGGUCGCAGCCGUUGUUGAUCUAGCCAGUCUGCUUCUUCCUCCUUGGAAUGCGGUGCUGGACCUCGCCGUCGUCACGAUUGGACUUUGGCCGCCAGAGUGUCGGUGCUAGCUGGAUAUGUGUUAUCUCCUGGGAUGAGGUAGCAGCCGCGGAUUGAUCGUCGUUGGCGAGAGAAGGUAGCAACAGCGGGGGGAUUGAUCGUCGUUACUGAGAGAAGGUAGCAACGGCGGCGGGUUGAUCGUCGUUGGCGAGAGAAGAAGACAACCUGUUGCGGUGAAGUGAAGUCUGGAUUCCCUAUUCUGGAGAAGAGAUCGGGGGGGGGGGGGGAGGAGGGUGUUGAGGCGUGGAGGUGGGUAGUUCGGAGAGGUAGUGCGGGGCAGGCGUGCAGGCGGAUGAUAGCAGGCGGUUUCCUCAGGCGCCCAGGAAAGGUGUCGUAGUCAGUCGUCGCUUCGAGGCACCGGUGGUCUAGAGGUUGAGAAUAGUAACUAGUGGUAGAAUAGGAACCCUGCUGCUGGCCUGGGGGUCUCCGUGAAAACCGGAGACGCACCACCGCAGAUCCGCAUUUUACGGAAUCCCUUUAAUCGAGUGUAGCAAGGUAUUGUGUGUACGUGAUUGCUAGUAACGCAUUGUUCAUCUCUCGCGGAGCACAGUGCUCUGUAUUUUGUGAUUUAGAGCAGGAUGGCGCAUAGUAUAGUAGCUGGCCGGACCAGAGCGCAGAACAGCAGUGCCAACACUGUUGGCCGCGACUCUGUAGCAGGGUCAAUCGAUUAUGACGCAGAACAUACGAGUAGUGGAGAGUGAUCCAGGGCUUCAAGAUACUAUCUGAGGACACGCAAAGGUAGCUCAACAGUGGAGCGAGACAUCAAGACAUAUGGAACAACGACGAAAGCAAUAAACGGUACGAACCACCUAUUGCACACCACUGGAGCAAUGGAAGUAGCACCAAGCUCAAAGGAGAUAUCAACCCCAACGGUCGGAUAAUCAACAAAGAACGUCGAAACACCACAGGUAAUCUCUGCCCCACUCAGUGGAUUGUUGACAGGUACACCACAACAUCAACAGGCCUCACAGGAGGACAACUAAGAGGAGAUUCAGAUGGAGAUCACCCCUGAUACCACACAAGCAAGCAAAUACUUCCACACCCCGGGCACAAAGGAAACAGGAGUAAUAGAACGUAGUACAAACUCAUUUUCAUUGGGGGAGGGGGGGGGGGGACACCCACAGGGAACUCCAUAUACUCCUACGGAAACAAGUACAAGACUCCAGGGCAAGAGCGGAACAAAUCAUACAUCAACAUGGGAACCUGGGAUUGUGCCAUAAAACCAAUGAAAAAGAGGCAGUAGCAGAAAUGGUGGGUAGAGUGUCCAUAGUCCCCUCUUAAAUUCAUGGAAGAAUUUUACGCAGAAUACAACCUCGUUACCAAACAUCAAGUAACCCCUAUUUUCUUCUCUGACCCAUCUAUUGAAGGACAACCGAAAACCAGGGAAAUAGAUAGAGCGGAACCCGAAAGGUAGAGAGAACCACCACUGCACCCCAUCCGACAAUCCACGCUACUAUCGACCCCGAAAUCCGUCAGAAGUACAAAGACAAAAUGCAACAACUCCAAAAAUAUAUGGUCCUAGGAGUAAUGAGAGAACGUAGCCCGGGCAUCCGUAGACUUACAAUAUGGGCUAAAACCAAACUGCAUCACUCCUUCAAGUGUCUCACUAUCCGAGUUAACAACUAUAUAGAUUUAUAAUUCACAGGAGGAAGGAGUAAGACAAACCUUAGUACCUAUUCCUACAGAGUAGAUAAUAGGGAACUAUGCUGCAACCCAUGGUCCCCAUACUAUGAAGAAGACGAACUAGCAUCACAUAAGCAACUUAAAACAGCACUGUGGGCACAAAUGAUUGGUCUCCUCCAAUCUCUCCGAACCAAAGAAUUUCUUCACUAGAUACUACAUCAAACAUUUGAGAUACUUCUGAUCGACGAUGGAGAAACAUGUAGGGCGAAACUAUUUGGACCAAGAGUAAGGAUCUUGACUGACAACACAGAAGACCUCCCUAGGUCAGUCUGGAUCAUGAGAAUGGAUGCGGAUUCAGAAAAGGAGUAUAUGAUCGAAUACAGUGGAUUUAGUGGACAGUGCAGCCGAUGCCGCUCCUAUGAAGACCAGCGAGCGAAAGGAUUUUAGACCGGGAAAAGCAAAGGCAAAGAGAAUCUGUUCGCCACACGAACUCGUCAACUGAUCCCAAGGAACCUACAAAACAACAGAAGAAUAGCAGAAUCAGUUCGAGGAAACAAAGCUUCAUCUGGCAGCCUAAAGCUAAAUUAGUAGUCAGAGAAGAAUGCAACCCUGUAGCAGCCGGGCACAUUGGUUACUCAACGACCCAAAUGCACUCUAAUUUCUGGGAAGCCCUGGGCUGGACUUCACCGUCUGGAACAGAGUUCUCAGAUGCUAUCGUCCCCAUAUUCUUAAGGAAAAGGACCGAUGAACUAUAUGAGACUCCAAUCACCCACCAAGCUACAAAAGGAGGCCACCCACCAGAAGGGCAGGUGAGGGAGAGUCCUGUAUCCCACCAAUAGGAUACGAGGGCAAUGAAUGAACCCAUUUGCAUUGCAACUUUGAAUGUCCAAAGCCUGGGAAGAGACUUUGCGGGAAUUAGAAAAAGAGAGAAAUCAGGGAGUUCUUUUCGAAAUCAAAACCAAGGCCCGACAUCCUCUUAUUCCAAGAGCACAAACUCUCGCUUGAGGAGUGGAAAUCCAAGACACAUCAAAUCGACUUCUUGAAUAGCACAAAUCAUAUGGAGUGAGGCAUCUUGAUCAAAUCAUUUUUGAUAAUGUAUUUAUGGCCUUCAAAGCCAUGUCUUAGACAAAAACUAAUCAAUAAGAAUUUAUACUCUUACUACUGGACUUUGAAAAAGCCUACAACCAAG